rnacentral:rRNA from 1 species
AGCGAACGUUAGCGGCGGGCCUAACACAUGCAAGUCGAACGCGAAAGGUCUUCGGACUGAUUGAGUGGCGCACGGGUGAGUAACACGUAGGUAAUCUACCCUUUGGCGGGGGAUAACGUUCCGAAAGGGACGCUAAUACCGCAUAAGACCACGCGGUCUCCGGACUGUGUGGGAAAAGGUGGCCUCUUCUUGAAAGCUACCACCGGAGGAUGAGCCUGCGUCCCAUCAGCUAGUUGGUAAGGUAAUGGCUUACCAAGGCGAAGACGGGUAGCUGGUUUGAGAGAAUGAUCAGCCACACUGGCACUGGAACACGGGCCAGACUCCUACGGGAGGCAGCAGUGAGGAAUAUUGGGCAAUGGGCGAAAGCCUGACCCAGCCACGCCGCGUGAGUGAUGAAGGCCUUCGGGUCGUAAAGCUCUGUGGAGAGGGACGAAAACCCUGGUUUCAAAUAGGCUCCAGGCUUGACGGUACCUCUUUAGCAAGCACCGGCUAACUCUGUG